rnacentral:rRNA from 1 species
GACGAACGCUGGCGGCGUGCUUAACACAUGCAAGUCGAGCGGAAAGGCCCUUCGGGGUACUCGAGCGGCGAACGGGUGAGUAACACGUGAGUAAUCUGCCCUUGGCUUUGGGAUAAGCCCCGGAAACGGGGUCUAAUACCGGAUACGACAACUCCUGGCAUCGGGUGGUUGUGGAAAGUUUUUUCGGCCAGGGAUGUGCUCGCGGCCUAUCAGCUUGUUGGUGGAGUAAUGGCCUACCAAGGCUUCGACGGGUAGCCGGCCUGAGAGGGUGACCGGCCACACUGGGACUGAGACACGGCCCAGACUCCUACGGGAGGCAGCAGUGGGGAAUAUUGGACAAUGGGCGGAAGCCUGAUCCAGCAACGCCGCGUGAGGGAUGACGGCCUUCGGGUUGUAAACCUCUUUCAGUACCGACGAAGCGCCGAUGAUGGUGGUGACGGUAGGUACAGAAGAGGCACCGGCCAACUACGUGCCAGCAGCCGCCGUAACAC